AAGAGACAGCAGUCGCCGCGGUAAUACGUAGGGGGCAAACGUUAUCCGGAAUUACUGGGUGUAAAGGGAGCGUAGACGGUUAAACAAGUCUGAAGUGAAAUGCCGGGGCUCAACCCCGGAGCUGCUUUGGGAACUGUAGAACCGGAGUGUCGGAGGGGUAAGCGGAAUUCCCAGUGUAGCGGUGAAAUGCGUAGAUAUUGGGAGGAACACCGGCGGCGAAGGCGGCUUACUGGACGACAACUGACGUUGAGGCUCGAAGGCGUGGGUAGCAAACUGGAUUAGAUACCCGCGUAGUCCCUGUCUCUUAUAC
rnacentral:rRNA from 1 species